rnacentral:rRNA from 1 species
AACGUAGGAGACAAACGUUAUCCGGAGUUACUGGGCGUAAAGGGCGCGUAGGCGGCCAGUGCAAGUCAGUUGUGAAAUCUCCGAGCUUAACUCGGAAAGGUCAACUGAUACUGCUCGGCUAGAGUGCGGAAGGGGCAACUGGAAUUCUUGGUGUAGCGGUGAAAUGCGUAGAUAUCAAGAGGAACACCUGCGGCGAAGGCGGGUUGCUGGGCCGACACUGACGCUGAUGCGCGAAAGCUAGGGGAGCGAACGGG